rnacentral:rRNA from 1 species
AGGAUUAACGCUGGCGGCGUGCCUGACACAUGCAAGUCGAACGAGGCCGCAAGGCCGAGUGGCGGACGGGUGAGUAACACGUGACCAACCAACCUCGAAGUUGGGAAUAGCUCUGCGAAAGUAGGGGUAAUACCGAAUGUGGCCCAGGGCGGGCAUCCGCCUUGGUCUAAAGAUUCAUCGCUUCGAGACGGGGUCGCGGCCUAUUAGCUUGUUGGUGAGGUAACGGCUCACCAAGGCGAUGAUGGGUAGCUGGUCUGAGAGGACGACCAGCCACACUGGGACUGAGACACGGCCCAGACUCCUACGGGAGGCAGCAGUGAGGAAUCUUCCGCAAUGGGCGAAAAGCCUGACGGAGCAACGCCGCGUGUGGGAUGAAGACUCUAGGGUUGUAAACCACUGUCGGAGGGGACGAAUCGUGACGGUACCCUCCAAGGAAAGCCCCGGCUAACUACGCGCCAGCAGCCGC